CCUACGGGGGGCAGCAGUGGGGAAUAUUGGGCAAUGGGCGCAAGCCUGACCCAGCAACGCCGCGUGAAGGAAGAAGGCUUUCGGGUUGUAAACUUCUGUUCUCAGGGACGAAGCAAGUGACGGUACCUGAGGAAUAAGCCACGGCUAACUACGUGCCAGCAGCCGCGGUAAUACGUAGGUGGCAAGCGUUAUCCGGAUUUACUGGGGGUAAAGGGCGGGUAGGCGGGAAAGCAAGUCAGAUGUGAAAACCAUGGGCUCAACCUGUGGCCUGCAUUUGAAACUGUUUUUCUUGAGUACUGGAGAGGCAGACGGAAUUCCAAGUGUAGCGGUGAAAUGCGUAGAUAUUAGGAGGAACACCAGUGGCGAAGGCGGUCUGCUGGACAGCAACUGACGCUGAGGCGCGAAAGCGUGGGGAGCAAACAGGAUUAGAUACCCUAGUAGUC
rnacentral:rRNA from 1 species